rnacentral:misc_RNA from 1 species
GAAAGUAAAAGUCGUAACAAGAUUUCCGUAGGUGAACCUGCGGAAGGAUCAUUAUCGAGUUUUGACUGGGUUGUAGCUGGCCUUCCGAGGCCUGUGCACGCCCUGCUCAUCCACUCUACACCUGUGCACUUACUGUGGGUAUCAGAUCGUGAAGCGUGCUCUUUUACCGGAGCUUGUGAAGCGUGUCUGUGCCUGCGUUUAUCACAAACACUAUAAAGUAUCAGAAUGUGUAUUACGAUGUAACGCAUCUAUAUACAACUCUCAGCAACGGAUCUCUUGGCUCUC